rnacentral:lncRNA from 1 species
GGGCUCACGAACUCUCUGGGGGAGGACGCUCUCUCUCUCUCGCUCGAAAAAAAGAGGAAGAAAAACGGACUGUCUUCAUCUCUUGCUUGGCGGAGAGCUCACGAGGAGGAAAGGGGAAUCGAGGAGAGGAAAAUCACUCGAUCGCCAUCGCUCCCUUCCCUUGCUUCGCGUGCGAUUCGAGUCGAUCGGAACAAUCGUCGGUGGCGACGACGGCGACGACAACCACAGCGGUGCUGAUAGAGGGCUCGGAGAGAUCUGGCACUAGAUCGGAUUGGGCUCUCCGAUCGGUGCCUCAACGUCUAGGGUUUUUGGGGGAUUUCGAUCGAUUGAAGCGGCGGCGACGACGACCAGUGAUGACAGCCGCUCCCGAUCUAUACCUCUCUCUGUUCUAGUUCGACGGAUUGUUCUCGCUCGCUCGAUCAAAGAUGGAAUGGCUUGACGAGGAGUUCGACAGGGAUUCGGUUUCCGAGAAUCAACAGCAACGG